rnacentral:rRNA from 1 species
AGAGUUUGAUCAUGGCUCAGGAUGAGCGCUGGCGGCGUGCCUAAUACAUGCAAGUCGAGCGGAAAGGCUCAGCACUAUUUACUUAACCGAGACAGGGCCCGGCCACGAAAUGGACGGAUCUUCACCGAAACGAUGAGCGUCUCAUAGGUCGAGUAAAGAGUGCUGAGUACUCGAGCGGCGGACGGCUGAGUAACGCGUAGGAACGUACCCCAAAGUGAGGGAUAACUGCUCGAAAGAGUGGCUAAUACCGCAUGUGAUCUACGGAUUAAAGCUUUAUGCGCUUUGGGAACGGCCUGCGUCCGAUUAGCUAGUUGGUGAGGUAAAAGCUUACCAAGGCGACGAUCGGUAGCUGGUCUGAGAGGAUGAUCAGCCAGACUGGGACUGAGACACGGCCCAGACUCCUACGGGAGGCAGCAGUAGGGAAUUUUCCACAAUGGGCGAAAGCCUGAUGGAGCAACGCCGCGUGCAGGAUGAAUGCCUUCGGGUUGUAAACUGCUUUUAAUAGUGACGAUUAUGACGGUAACUAUUGAAUAAGGACCUGCUAACUACGUGCCAGCAGCCGCGGUCAUACGUAGGGUCCAAGCGUUAUCCGGAAUUACUGGGCGUAAAGAGUUGCGUAGGUGGCAUAGUAAGCAAAUAGUGAAAGCGUGUGGCUCAACCAUACAUCCAUUAUUUGAACUGCUAAGCUUGAAGAUGAGAGAGGUAGAUGGAAUUCCUAAUGUAGGGGUAAUAUCCGUAGAUAUUAGGAGGAACACCGAUGGCGUAGGCAGUCUACUGGCUCAUUCUUGACACUAAGGCACGAAAGCGUGGGGAGCAAACAGGAUUAGAUACCCUAGUAGUCC